UCCGCAUUAGUGUAGUGGUUAACAUAUUUGUCUUUCAUCUCAAUGUGGGAGCAUCACAGAAGCCGGGGGUUCGAUUCCCCCAUGCGGAG
rnacentral:tRNA from 1 species